rnacentral:piRNA from 1 species
UACAGAAUGUGAGAACAGAAGGUCUG